rnacentral:rRNA from 1 species
UCAGUCGACUCCUACGGGGAGGCAGCAGUGGGGAAUAUUGCACAAUGGGGGAAACCCUGAUGCAGCCAUGCCGCGUGUGUGAAGAAGGCCUUCGGGUUGUAAAGCACUUUCAGUUGUGAGGAAAGUUAGUAGUUAAUACCUGCUAGCCGUGACGUUAACAACAGAAGAAGCACCGGCUAACUCCGUGCCAGCAGCCGCGGUAAUACGGAGGGUGCGAGCGUUAAUCGGAAUUACUGGGCGUAAAGCGCACGCAGGCGGUUUGUUAAGCUAGAUGUGAAAGCCCCGGGCUCAACCUGGGAUGGUCAUUUAGAACUGGCAGACUAGAGUCUUGGAGAGGGAGUGGAAUUCCAGGUGUAGCGGUGAAAUGCGUAGAUAUCUGGAGGAACAUCAGUGGCGAAGGCGACUCCCUGGCCAAAGACUGACGCUCAUGUGCGAAAGUGUGGGUAGCGAACAGGAUUAGAUACCCUGGUAG